AUGCGGAGCCGCGAACAUGCGCGGAUGCACUGGAGACAAGCUGUGCGGAGCCGCAGCCAUUUCCGUUGGUUGCCGCGCUGUAAGCGGUUGUUCGCCGUCGCUUCCAUAGCCCGUCAGGAGCCGUCAUCGCGCACAGAGGGCCAAGGAAAGCACGGACGUUGGCGAUGGUGGGCUUGUGGCGUGGGUGCACAUGUUGCCGGAGCCGAGGCGAACACGGCUGCGGGUGUUGCUCGGCGAGCUAGGGCGCGCCGAUGUGGAUGCAUCUGUGCUGCUGCGUGCGCCUCAAUGAUGAGAGCCAAAGGUAUUAAAAUAGGAAAGAAGCACCUGAUUAUUAUACCAAUUAGAUCAAGACUUUGGUAUAUGCAUGGUUGUAUGCGCCGCUUGAUCCUCCUGUGCAUGACUCCCGGCACAUGGGUGUGCGUGGUGGCCGGAAUUGUGGUUCGCCAGAAUGCCUUCGUCUCUCGUUCGCUCUCGCGCCGUCUCGUUCGCUUCGUCGUUAAUUUUGGAGAGACGUGCGUUGUUUAUCACGCCGCUCCCGCCGAUGAGGCUGAUGCAAGGGCGUCCUCCCCUGCUCCGACAAGGAGGAUGCCCUUCCAUGUGAGAUCCAGCAAAGAAGCACUUCACCGAUAUCCGUUCCUACGAGAUCCAACGAGGAAGUGCUGGAUGGAGUCUGCACCGAUAUCCAUUAAAGAAGCACACCCGGAUGCUACUGCCUUCCACGGCAAAAAAUUGGUUGACCACAACGUUCUUGAAGCCUCGUUCGAGCAACCUCAAAGUAGGCUGAGGAGGAUAACAAGUGGUGUUCUUGAAGUUUCAUUUGGUGUUGCUGUCAGCAGGCUUAUACUUUCAUCAUCUUCUACAUCAAGUAUAGUGGUUAAUUGUUUUGGUCAACUCUGCAUCUUAUUUUCUCAGAAUUACCUUGCCGCAUUUUGUGGACAACAAAACCCAACCAUCACCAGACUGGCGCCAGACUCGCCGGAGUCCGGCGAAAUUCCACCAAGGUGCGCCGAUUCUGGCCAAAUCCCCUCCAAUUUCCGACGACGGCUGCUCGAACAGGCCACGGCGUUAGUACAUGGCCGGGCGCGCGAACCAGUUCGACGUGAAUAUAACCACUGGCCGCGUGCAUCCACCGCUAGUCGGGCUCGUCGAGAUGGAGGUCGCUGGGUCUGCCAAACGCCUCCCCCUGCAGGUAAGGGCAUACCUUUGCCGCGGGCCGCUCGUCAGGCACCACCGAACCUGGAGAAGGCGAAGUGUGGCAGCUGGUCGGCGCAGGGGUCUCCUGUCGAUUCGGUGGGGAAGAAGACCAAAAAGAAAAAAAGAACACUGACAUGUGGGCCUUUAGUGGUACCGAUUUCACAGGAUCUGUUGUUCUACCGGAGCUCCGGCGACACGGUUAAGAUACCGCAGCCUACUCAGUUGGCCAAGUUUGGCCGGGAUUGGACCCCAAAGGUGAUUGUCCGGGAGGUGGAUUCUUGUGAGGAGACUGAGAUUUGCGAUGCAAGGAGGUAUUUGGCCGUCAAGGUGGAACGACUGAAGGUCCAGUGCAACAACACGAGACGUGUGCCUCUUGCUGCAAGUAACACCGGACCAAUUGCAGAACUGUUGGAGGGAAUCAUCAAUCUUCCAGGAGUCCGAGGCCACCAAGAUCCUGUGCUCGUAGAGGUCGUCCGCGCCCAAGGCUCCGACUACUCCCGCAAGACGCCACCAAGCCGGCGCCGGCCACCUGCCUCCGACUACUCCUACAAGACGCCGCCGUCGGCCAAGGCUGCCGGCGUGCCCAAGGUCUACGACGACGACGAGCCAUUCCUGGCGCCCAAGGCCGCCGCGAACAGCCGCGGCUCCGGCGCUCGCGGGACGGCGACACUGGUGCAGGUGCACACCGUGCGGAAGGUGCGGCGGCACGAGCGUGACCAGAAGGUGCGGCGGCGCGAGCACGGGCGGACGCUGGGCGCGGAGCUGCGGGGAGCGGGCGGCCGGGCGCGAGCGUGUGACGUGGCGCGCGGCCGAGCAGAAGGGAGCAUGCGAGCACCGGCGCGCGGAGCUACGGGGCGCGAGUGGCAGGGAGCACGCGAGCUCGGGGCGCAGGCGGCCGAGCAGCAGGGAGCACACGAGCGCUGGGCCCGGACGGCACGUCGCGAGAGCGUGCCGUGGCGCACGGAGCACAAGCAGACGCUAGGGGCGGAGCACAGGGCGCCGGACGUGAGCUGCAGGGCGCGAAGCUGCGAGGCAGCGGGGCGCGGGCGCGUGCCAUGGUGCGCGGCGCACGGGUGGACGAUUGGCGCGGAGCACGGGCGCGCGAUGCGGAGCUCAGAACAGUUCAUGGAAGGACUUGCCCACCAGUUGUUUGACUAUGUGAUGUACACCGUGAGCACGAACACGACCACUGGCCGCGGGCAUCCACCGCUAGUCAGGCUCGUCGAGGUGGAUGCCGCUGGGUCCGGCAAACACCUCCCCCGCAGGUCAGGGCAUACCGUCGCAUUUCACAGGAUCUGUUCUUCUACCAGAGCUCCCGCGAUACCAUAA
rnacentral:rRNA from 1 species